GUCAUUUUCUGGCUUGCCCAUAUGUUUAUAUGCUUUGAAAAUUAUAUAAUCAAGUAAUGAAGGGACCACAAAACUGAAAUUUUCCAAAUUAAUACAAGUCGAAAUAGCGGUGUACUUACUAAUAGAAUAAAAAAAGUGCAAUUAUUGUGCACUCGCAAUAUUUAGGCGUAAAGAUUGUGUUUAUUAUUUUUGUCGUUAUUUUGUGUCAUAAUAGUAACAUGGUCAUGCUAUUUUUGCAAUAUUCUACUGGGAUUUUUUGAAACUAUUGAUCACAAGCAAUCAUACAAUGUUCAAAACAUUUCAUGUAAGAUAAGACAGGAAAAUAUCAAGACCUUUUAUAUACUUUUCAAUGACAGCAUUUACUUUUGGGAUCAAAAGCACUUCGGCCAACAACUUGAGACAUUCUUUGAAAUUGCAACACACAUCU
rnacentral:lncRNA from 1 species